ACCGAUUACCUGGUUGCCAUGUAAUCGGACGCCGACUUGU
rnacentral:sRNA from 1 species